GAUGAAGAACGUAGCGAAAUGCGAUAAGUAGUGUGAAUUGCAGAAUUCAGUGAAUCAUCGAAUCUUUGAACGCACAUUGUGCCCUUUGGUAUUCCUUAGGGCAUGCCUGUUCGAGCGUCAUUUACAAAUUCAAGCUCAGCUUGGUGAUGGGUGUCUGUCCCGCCUCUGCGCGUGGACUCGCCUCAAAUGCAGUUGGCAGCUUAUCCCUCGGCUCUAAACGCAGCAGAUUUGCAUCGAGCGUCGUGUGGACGGGCUCUCCAGUAAGCAAACCCCCCAAAAUUGACCUCGGAUCAGGUAGGGAUACCCGCUGAACUUAAGCAUAUCAAUAAGCGGAGGA
rnacentral:misc_RNA from 1 species